AGAUGUAACUUAGUGGUAGAGUAUUUGCCUUCCACGCACAAUGCCCUAGGUUCAAUCCUAGCUCUA
rnacentral:tRNA from 1 species